GACGAACGCUGGCGGCGUGCCUAAUACAUGCAAGUAGAACGCUGAAGGAGGAGCUUGCUUCUCUGGAUGAGUUGCGAACGGGUGAGUAACGCGUAGGUAACCUGCCUGGUAGCGGGGGAUAACUAUUGGAAACGAUAGCUAAUACCGCAUAAGAGUAGAUGUUGCACGACAUUUGCUUAAAAGGUGCAAUUGCAUCACUACCAGAUGGACCUGCGUUGUAUUAGCUAGUUGGUGGGGUAACGGCUUACCAAGGCGACGAUACAUAGCCGACCUGAGAGGGGGAUCGGCCACACUGGGACUGAGACACGGCCCAGACUCCUACGGGAGGCAGCAGUAGGGAAUCUUCGGCAAUGGACGGAAGUCUGACCGAGCAACGCCGCGUGAGUGAAGAAGGUUUUCGGAUCGUAAAGCUCUGUUGUAAGAGAAGAACGAGUGUGAGAGUGGAAAGUUCACACUGUGACGGUAUCUUACCAGAAAGGGACGGCUAACUACGUG
rnacentral:rRNA from 1 species